AUUGAACGCUGGCGGAAUGCUAUACACAUGCAAGUCGAACGGCAGCACGGGGGCAACCCUGGUGGCGAGUGGCGAACGGGUGAGUAAUACAUCGGAACGUGCCCGGUCGUGGGGGAUAACGUAGCGAAAGUUACGCUAAUACCGCAUACGAUCUGAGGAUGAAAGCGGGGGACCUUCGGGCCUCGCGCGAUCGGAGCGGCCGAUGUCAGAUUAGGUAGUUGGUGGGGUAAAGGCCUACCAAGCCGACGAUCUGUAGCUGGUCUGAGAGGACGACCAGCCACACUGGGACUGAGACACGGCCCAGACUCCUACGGGAGGCAGCAGUGGGGAAUUUUGGACAAUGGGCGCAAGCCUGAUCCAGCCAUUCCGCGUGCAGGACGAAGGCCUUCGGGUUGUAAACUGCUUUUGUAUGGAACGAAAAGGCUCUGGCUAAUACCUGGGGCUCAUGACGGUACCGUAAGAAUAAGCACCGGCUAACUACGUG
rnacentral:rRNA from 1 species